rnacentral:rRNA from 1 species
UGGGGAAUAUUGGACAAUGGGCGCAAGCCUGAUCCAGCCAUGCCGCGUGAGUGAUGAAGGCCCUAGGGUUGUAAAGCUCUUUCACCGGUGAAGAUAAUGACGGUAACCGGAGAAGAAGCCCCGGCUAACUUCGUGCCAGCAGCCGCGGUAAUACGAAGGGGGCUAGCGUUGUUCGGAUUUACUGGGCGUAAAGCGCACGUAGGCGGACUUUUAAGUCAGGGGUGAAAUCCCGGGGCUCAACCCCGGAACUGCCUUUGAUACUGGAAGUCUUGAGUAUGGUAGAGGUGAGUGGAAUUCCGAGUGUAGGAGUGAAAUUCGUAGAUAUUCGGAGGAACACCAGUGGCGAAGGCGGCUCACUGGACCAUUACUAACGCUGAGGUGCGAAAGCGUGGGGAGCAAACAGG